UCAGAUUGAACGCUGGCGGCAUGCCUUACACAUGCAAGUCGAACGGCAGCACGGGAGCUUGCUCCUGGGUGGCGAGUGGCGAACGGGUGAGUAAUGCAUCGGAACGUGCCCUGAAGUGGGGGAUAACGUAGCGAAAGUUACGCUAAUACCGCAUAUUCUGUGAGCAGGAAAGCAGGGGAUCUUCGGACCUUGCGCUUUUGGAGCGGCCGAUGUCGGAUUAGCUAGUUGGUGAGGUAAAGGCUCACCAAGGCGACGAUCCGUAGCGGGUCUGAGAGGAUGAUCCGCCACACUGGGACUGAGACACGGCCCAGACUCCUACGGGAGGCAGCAGUGGGGAAUUUUGGACAAUGGGCGCAAGCCUGAUCCAGCCAUGCCGCGUGAGUGAAGAAGGCCUUCGGGUUGUAAAGCUCUUUCGGUGGGGAAGAAAUUGCUUCGGUUAAUACCUGGAGUAGAUGACGGUACCCGCAUAAGAAGCACCGGCUAACUACGUG
rnacentral:rRNA from 1 species